rnacentral:tRNA from 1 species
GCGGGUGUAGUUCAACGGUAGAACAUCAGCCUUCCAAGCUGAAUACGAGGGUUCGAUUCCCUUCACCCGCUCCA